rnacentral:rRNA from 1 species
UGGGGAAUAUUGGACAAUGGGCGCAAGCCUGAUCCAGCCAUGCCGCGUGAGUGAUGAAGGCUCUAGGGUUGUAAAGCUCUUUCACCGGUGAAGAUAAUGACGGUAACCGGAGAAGAAGCCCCGGCUAACUUCGUGCCAGCAGCCGCGGUAAUACGAAGGGGGCUAGCGUUGUUCGGAUUUACUGGGCGUAAAGCGCACGUAGGCGGACUUUUAAGUCAGGGGUGAAAUCCCGGGGCUCAACCCCGGAACUGCCUUUGAUACUGGAAGUCUUGAGUAUGGUAGAGGUGAGUGGAAUUCCGAGUGUAGAGGUGAGAUUCGUAGAUAUUCGGAGGAACACCAGUGGCGAAGGCGGCUCCCUGGACCAUUACUGACGCUGAGGUGCGAAAGCGUGGGGAGCAAACAGG